UAAUACGAAGGGGGCUAGCGUUGUUCGGAAUUACUGGGCGUAAAGCGCAUGUAGGCGGCGAUUUAAGUCGGGGGUGAAAUCCCAGGGCUCAACCCUGGAACUGCCUUCGAUACUAUUUUGCUAGAGUGUGGAAGAGGUUGGUGGAACUGCAAGUGUAGAGGUGAAAUUCGUAGAUAUUUGCAAGAACACCGGUGGCGAAGGCGGCCAACUGGUCCAUUACUGACGCUGAGAUGCGAAAGCGUGGGGAGCAAACAGGAUUAGAUACCCUGGUAGUCCACGCCGUAAACGAUGAGAGCUAGCUGUUGGUCUGUUUACAGAGCAGUAGCGCAGAUAACUCAAUAAGCUCUCCGCCUGGGGAGUACGGUCGCAAGAUUA
rnacentral:rRNA from 1 species